UCAAGACACCUGUGACAUAAUUAAAUUUGGUGACAACAUAAUAAGGAAUAACUCAAUAAGUAGCAAAGACUCAAUCUUGGGUCCGCCAAGGUUGGGAGGAGGGGUUCACCUCAUGUGAUUAACUGGUGGUUGCUAGGUGACAGUCCUGCAAAGGAGCCACUCAUUUUCAGCCCAGCACUUCAACCAGCAGGAUUUGAGGACAGCCUUCCUGAUCCUCCGAACCAAAUACUGCUGUCCACAUCAUCUCCUGUACGCUGGUUGCCAUAGGGAUUCCAGGGACAUCUGACUCAAGGAUGACAUGAGUCAUACGUUUAAAAAGAAAUAUAUUUUUCUUCUGCUUGUAGUAGAUUUGUUGAAUGGACAGUGGAGUCUCGUUUAUUACAAUGGCACAACAAAGAGGAUCUCAAAUCAAGAGGGCUCAAGGCUUCUCCUUGUCCUGUGAAUAAAAUCGGAUUCAUUUGUUUGCAAAGGUUUGAGCAACGCCUGGAUUUUUUUCUCUCUACAUUAUCGCUGUCCUACUUUUCUCCAAGGUCACAGCUACAGCAGACGUACAGCAGUGUCACUCCCCAUGGCUGUAUAAUUUUUCAUAUAAAAUACACUAUCAUAGUACCUGUCAUGAAACUCCAAAUGUUGCAAAGCAGUUCUGACUGUUCUUACUCUUAGACUCAAGGAACAUCACAACCAUGACCUUGAUUUGGUCCACUCUUGUAGGAUCAUAUUACUGCUUU